GCCGGGCAUGGUGGCUCACGCUUGUAAUCCAAGCACUUUGGAGGCUAAGGCGGGCGGAUCACCUGAGGUCGGGAGUUCAAGACCAGCCUGACCAACAUGGUGAAAGCCCGUCUUUA
ensembl:misc_RNA Metazoa_SRP Metazoan signal recognition particle RNA